rnacentral:rRNA from 1 species
UACGAGGGGGGCGAGCGUUGUUCGGAAUCACUGGGCGUAAAGGGCGCGUAGGCGGCUUGAUAAGGUUGCGGUGAAAGCCCGGGGCUCAACCCCGGGUCGGCCGUGGCAACUGUCGAGCUGGAGCACUGUAGAGGCAGGUGGAAUUCCGGGUGUAGCGGUGGAAUGCGUAGAGAGUCCGGAAGAACACCGGUGGCGAAGGCGGCCUGCUGGGCAGUGGCUGACGCUGAGGCGCGCAGCGUGGGGAGCAAACAGG